GCAGGAUGGCCGACGGUCAUGCGUUCCAUAGCUAUUGCUUUCAUGGUGCUUUCCAUGAUGUGUUCUACCUUCCCAUCCUGCCAUGCAGGCACUGAAUCUGUUCAUAAUGUGGUUUGUGAGACUCUCGAUCCCUGUAAUAGCCCGAGGUGUGAAGACAUGUGUCAUCGUAUAAUGCAACAUCGAUCCAGACACUAUUGCAAGACCCAUAAUGUUCAAAUUCCAAACUGUUGUUGUAUAGAACAAUAAUAUAAUUGUUGGUUCUCCUGCUUGAGCCAUGCAAUGUUGAAUAAAUUGAUAUCAAUAAAGAUGUUUUUCAAGUAA